UAUCUGAGUGAUAAAUAUUCUUUUGGGAGAAUGGGGGAUGAUAGGGCAUCAAAUGUAUCCAGAGAACUGGUUGGCUGAAUGGUAUUUGCUAAUUUAGCACAAAAUGUUGACGGUUAAAGUGUCGGCCGAAAGAAAAAGAAAAUUUCAAAUCUCUUUCUUUUGAAAUCGACCAGCCACAAAACAAGGCCUUUUGCUUUGAAAUAAGCUGUUGAUACGGGUGUCUAUCGACCAAUUUUAAAUUUUUUUAUCACACAAAAAAAAAAAAUAAAAAAAAAAAGGAAACUACAUAACUUAGAAAAGCAAUUCCACUGUAGAGACAAAAGAGGAGCUUGAGUUUGAGGAGUUCAUAGACAGGAGGAUUGAUUUAAGUUCCCUGUCUGGAAAAAAAAUCCAGUUAAGAUAAAAACCAAAAAAGAAACUAGCCGCAUAUCCAAGAGCGUUGCAGAAAGCGGAAUUGGAGCGAACCGGUAGCCGUGGGUGAUAAGGCUCCGGUAAACUUAACAGUUUGAAAAAUCGAGUUCGGUUCAAAUCGAGUUAGAUAUGCAAAAAAAUUUUUUUUAUUUCAUUUUUCGUUUUUUUUUUUUGUUUUUACAAUCUAUAAUUAAUUAAUUCAAUAAUUCAAAUUUUUCUCGAAGUGGUCAUAGUAAAAAUUCAAAUUCAAAAAUCUAAUCAAAAAUUUUAAUUGCGCGAACCGUGUGUUAGUUUUCAAUCCGCGAUUAACUUAUUUGUACUUAUAUAUAUAUAUAUCGUGUGUAUAACAAAGGCACAGAAAAACGUGCACAAAAAAAAAGAAGAAAAAAGUGAUACCUCCUUAUUCUCCUGCAGCAGUGGCCACUACGAACAGAAGGACAAGGGUGAGUUUAUUUUUAAUUUUUAUAAUUGUAUGCACAAAUAUACCUACAGAUAUAUAUAUACGCACAAAAUUUCUUUCGCGAGGGCGGUACAAGUGGGGAUUAAAGUUUUAUUCUUGAUUGUGACAAAAGAGGAUUGUAUAUCCCAAAUUUGCGAAUAAAUCGAAGACGGGUUAAGAUUUUUUUUGAUUAAACUUCGAAUUGAAAACCGGCCAUUAGAGAUUUCAAAUUUUUUUAUUAUUGUACUUCUAAAUGUAAAUUCAAUUAUAAUAAAUCUGAGAUUUUAAUAACCUGAGUAAAUGAAGAAAUACAACUUAAAUGUAUAUUUAAUUCAUGUUUGAAAUAAAGUUGAAAUGAUAAUGGUGAA